UGCAGGUCUUCUGGGGUUUGGACAAAAAGCUUGCACAGAGAGAGCAUUUCCUUUCUGUUAAUUGUUUGAUUUCCUACUCAAAGUAUUCAACGGAAUUGGAAUCUUUCUAUGAGAAGUUCGAUCCAGAUUUCAUCAACAUCAGGACAAAGGCCAGAGAGGUGUUGCAGAGGGAAGAUGAUCUUAGUGAAAUUGUCCAGCUUGUGGGAAAAGAUGCGCUAGCAGAAGGUGACAAGAUCACCUUGGAACCAGCUAAGCUAUUGAGAGAAGACUACCUUGCUCAAAACGCAUUCACACCAAGUGAUACUCAUCAAAGCUUCUUUACCAAAGCUUCCUCAAGAAAACCGCAAGAGUUACGAGGCCAUGGGUCUAGGCACUCAACAGUAUCUUUCCUGGAAAGUGACGUCAAUUUAUAGGCAAGGGUGCUGAAGUGAAGUUCGCCGCAAGUUUGCUAAUGAGUGAUAUCGUUGCUCUCUUGAACAAUGAAGACAAUCUUUAGUCAAUGAUGUUAAACUUACUUCUUAAGAGUUGCUGAGCUGAUACAUGCAAGCAAAGAUGGCACCAUUAGCGGAAAGAGUGGUCAACAGAUAAUGUUUGAGCUCUUGGCCAAGGUGGAACUGCCCUAGGAAUGAUAAAAGAAAAGACUUGGUUAAGGCAAG